rnacentral:rRNA from 1 species
GGAAUUUUGCGCAAUGGGGGAAACCCUGACGCAGCAACGCCGCGUGAGUGAUGAAGGCCUUCGGGUCGUAAAGCUCUGUCAGAGGGGAAGAAGUGCAUGGGCGCUAAUAUCGCUUUUGCUUGACGGUACCCUCAAAGGAAGCACCGGCUAACUCCCUUCCAGCAGCCGCGGUAAUACGGAGGUUGCGAGCGUUGUUCGGAAUUAUUGGUCGUAAAGCGCGUGUAGGCGGUUUAGUAAGUCUGAUGUGAAAGCCCCUGGCUCAACCUGUGAAGUGCAUUGGUAACUGUUAGACUUGAAUACGGGAGAGGGUAGUGGAAUUCCUAGUGUAGGAGUGAAAUCCGUAGAUAUUACGAGGAACACCGGUGGCGAAGGCGGCUAACUGGGCCGAUAUUGACGCUGAGACGCGAAAGCGUGGGGA